AACGAACGCUGGCGGCAGGCUUAACUCAUGCAAGUCGAACGCCCCGCAAGGGGAGUGGCAGACGGGUGAGUAACGCGUGGGAAUCUACCCAGUUCUACGGAACAACUGAGGGAAACUUCAGCUAAUACCGUAUACGCCCUACGGGGGAAAGAUUUAUCGGAAUUGGAUGAGCCCGCGUUGGAUUAGCUAGUUGGUGAGGUAACGGCUCACCAAGGCGACGAUCCAUAGCUGGUCUGAGAGGAUGAUCAGCCACACUGGGACUGAGACACGGCCCAGACUCCUACGGGAGGCAGCAGUGGGGAAUAUUGGACAAUGGGCGCAAGCCUGAUCCAGCCAUGCCGCGUAAGUGAUGAAGGCCUUAGGGUUGUAAAGCUCUUUCAGUGGGGACGAUAAUGACGGUACCCACAGAAGAAGCCCCGGCUAACUUCGUGCCAGCCGCCGCAGUAA
rnacentral:rRNA from 1 species